UACAGAGGGUGCGAGCGUUGUUCGGAAUUAUUGGGCGUAAAGCGCUUGUAGGCGGCACGUCAAGUCGCGUGUGAAAUCCCCAGGCUUAACCUGGGAAGUGCGCGCGAAACUGACGAGCUUGAGUGCCGGAGAGGGUCGCGGAAUUCCCGGUGUAGAGGUGAAAUUCGUAGAUAUCGGGAGGAACACCAGUGGCGAAGGCGGCGACCUGGACGGACACUGACGCUGAGGCACGAAAGCGUGGGGAGCAAACAGG
rnacentral:rRNA from 1 species